rnacentral:rRNA from 1 species
GAACACCAAGUACAAUUGGACGAAGGACCCGUCAACGGCGGGGGUAACUAUGACCCUCUUAAGGUAGCGUAGUACCUUGCCGCUUCAGUAGCGGCUUGCAUGAAUGGAUAAACGAGAGUGCCACUGUCCCAACGUUGGACCCGGUGAACUGUACGUUCCAGUGCGGAGUCUGGAGACCCCCAAGGGGAAGCGAAGACCCUAUAGAGCUUUACUGCAGGCUGUCGCUGAGACGUGGUCGCCGAUGUGCAGCAUAGGUAGGAGCCGUUACACAGGUAUCCGCGCUAGCGGACCACCGAGGCAUCAGUGAAAUACUACCCGUCGGUGACUGCGACUCUCACUCCUGGCGGAGGACACCGGUAGCCGGGCAGUUUGACUGGGGCGGUACGCGCUCGAAAAGAUAUCGAGCGCGCCCGAAGAUCAUCUCAGCCGGGUCGGGAAUCCGGCGAAGAGUGCAAGAGCAAAAGAUGGUCUGACAGUGUCGUUCCCAACGAGCGACGCUGACGCGAGAGCGUGGUCUAGCGAACCUACGAGGUUCCGGAAUGGGACCCGUAGAUGACAGAAAAGCUACCUUAGGGAUAACAGAGUCGUCACUCGCAAGAGCACAUAUCGACCGAGUGGCUUGCUACCUCGAUGUCGGUUCCCUCCAUCCUGCCCGUGCAGAAGCGGGCAAGGGUGAGGUUGUUCGCCUAUUAAAGGAGGUCGUGAGCUGGGUUUAGACCGUCGUGAGACAGGUCGGCUGCUAUCUAUUGGGGGUGUUGAAGGUGCCUGACGUGAACGAACGUAUAGUACGAGAGGAACUACGUUUGGUCGCCACUGGUGUACCGGUUGUUCGGAAGAGCAAUGCCGGGUAGCCACGCGACACGGGGUAAGAGCUGAACGCAUCUAAGCUCGAAACCCACAUGGAAACGAGGCACCGCGGAGGUCACUCGUAGAAGACGAGUUAGAUAGACUCGGGAUGUACGCGCUAAGGCAACGAGGCGUUGUAGUCCACGAGCACUAACAGACCGAGCCACACUC